rnacentral:rRNA from 1 species
GACGAACGCUAGCGGCAGGCCUAACACAUGCAAGUCGAGGGGUAGAGGAAGCUUGCUUCCUUGAGACCGGCGCACGGGUGCGUAACGCGUAUGCAAUCUACCUUUUACAGAGGGAUAGCCCAGAGAAAUUUGGAUUAAUACCUCAUAGUAUUUUCGAAUGGCAUCAUUUGAUUAUUAAAGUUCCAACGGUAAAAGAUGAGCAUGCGUCCUAUUAGCUAGAUGGUAAGGUAACGGCUUACCAUGGCAACGAUAGGUAGGGGUCCUGAGAGGGAGAUCCCCCGCACUGGUACUGAGACACGGGCCAGACUCCUACGGGAGGCAGCAGUGAGGAAUAUUGGACAAUGGGCGCAAGCCUGAUCCAGCCAUGCCGCGUGCAGGAAGACGCAUCUAUGGUGUGUAAACUGCUUUUGUACGGGAAGAAACACUCCCUCGUGAGGGAGCUUGACGGUACCGUAAGAAUAAGGAUCGGCUAACUCCGUGCCAGCCGCCGCAGUAACAC